rnacentral:rRNA from 1 species
GACGAACGCUGGCGGCGUGCUUAACACUUGCAAGUCGAACGGAAAGGCCCUGCUUUUGUGGGGUGCUCGAGUGGCGAACGGGUGAGUAACACGUGAGUAACCUGCCCUUGACUUUGGGAUAACUUCAGGAAACUGGGGCUAAUACCGGAUAGGAGCUCCUGCUGCAUGGUGGGGGUUGGAAAGUUUCGGCGGUUGGGGAUGGACUCGCGGCUUAUCAGCUUGUUGGUGGGGUAGUGGCUUACCAAGGCUUUGACGGGUAGCCGGCCUGAGAGGGUGACCGGCCACAUUGGGACUGAGAUACGGCCCAGACUCCUACGGGAGGCAGCAGUGGGGAAUAUUGCACAAUGGGCGGAAGCCUGACGCAGCAACGCCGCGUGCGGGAUGACGGCCUUCGGGUUGUAAACCGCUUUCGCCUGUGACGAAGCGUGAGUGACGGUAAUGGGUAAAGAAGCACCGGCUAACUACGUG